CAGCCGUAAACUAUGCGCGUUAGGUGUAUCGGUGACCACGAGUUACCGAGGUGCCGAAAGGGAAACCGUGAAACGUGCCGCCUGGGAAGUACGGUCGCAAGGCUGAAACUUAAAGGAAUUGGCGGGGGAGCACCACAACAGGUGGAGCCUGCGGUUUAAUUGGACUCAACGCCGGGAAGCUCACCGGAUAGGACAGCAGAAUGAUUGCCGGGCUGAAGACCCUGCAUGACUAGCUGAGAGGAGGUGCAUGGCGUCAGUGACU
rnacentral:rRNA from 1 species